rnacentral:rRNA from 1 species
CCUACGGGAUGCUGCAGUGGGGAAUAUUGGACAAUGGGCGAAAGCCUGAUCCAGCCAUGCCGCGUGUGUGAAGAAGGCCUUCGGGUUGUAAAGCACUUUCAGUGGGGAAGAAAGCCUUGGGGCUAAUACCCUCGAGGAAGGACAUCACCCACAGAAGAAGCACCGGCUAACUCCGUGCCAGCAGCCGCGGUAAUACGGAGGGUGCGAGCGUUAAUCGGAAUUACUGGGCGUAAAGCGCGCGUAGGCGGUCUGAUAAGCCGGUUGUGAAAGCCCCGGGCUCAACCUGGGAACGGCAUCCGGAACUGUCAGGCUAGAGUGCAGGAGAGGAAGGUAGAAUUCCCGGUGUAGCGGUGAAAUGCGUAGAGAUCGGGAGGAAUACCAGUGGCGAAGGCGGCCUUCUGGACUGACACUGACGCUGAGGUGCGAAAGCGUGGGUAGCAAACAGGAUUAGAUACCCGAGUAGUC